rnacentral:rRNA from 1 species
GACGAACGCUGGCGGCGUGCUUAACACAUGCAAGUCGAACGAUGAAGCGGGUGCUUGCACUCGUGGAUUAGUGGCGAACGGGCGAGUAACACGUGAGUAACCUGUCCUUUUCUUUGGGAUAACGGCUGGAAACGGCUGCUAAUACUGGAUAUUCAGGCUGCAUCGCAUGGUGUGGUUUGGAAAGGUUUUUUCUGGGAUUGGGUGGGCUCGCGGCCUAUCAGCUUGUUGGUGGGGUGAUGGCUUACCAAGGCUUUGACGGGUAGCCGGCCUGAGAGGGUGGUCGGUCGCACUGGGACUGAGAUACGGCCCAGACUCCUACGGGAGGCAGCAGUGGGGAAUAUUGCACAAUGGACGAAAGGUUGAUGCAGCGACGCCGCGUGGAGGGUGUAGGCCUUCGGGUUGUGAACUCCUUUGUCUCGCGAAAAAGGCACAGUUUUGGCUGUGUUGAUGGUAGUGGGGGAAGAAGCGCCGGCUAACUACGUG